rnacentral:piRNA from 1 species
UGAUACUUCGCAUUCAACCUACAAGGAC